UAUCAAAUAACUUAAUGGAAAAGUAUCUGACUCGUCCUCAGAAUAUGUGGGUUCGAUUCCCAUGAAGAUAG
rnacentral:tRNA from 1 species